GAUGAACGCUGGCGGCGUGCCUAAUACAUGCAAGUCGAGCGAACAGACGAGGAGCUUGCUCCUCUGACGUUAGCGGCGGACGGGUGAGUAACACGUGGAUAACCUACCUAUAAGACUGGGAUAACUUCGGGAAACCGAAGCUAAUACCGGAUAAUAUAUUGAACCGCAUGGUUCAAUAGUGAAAGACGGUUUUGCUGUCACUUAUAGAUGGAUCCGCGCCGCAUUAGCUAGUUGGUAAGGUAACGGCUUACCAAGGCUACGAUGCGUAGCCGACCUGAGAGGGUGAUCGGCCACACUGGAACUGAGACACGGUCCAGACUCCUACGGGAGGCAGCAGUAGGGAAUCUUCCGCAAUGGGAGAAAGCCUGACGGAGCAACGCCGCGUGAGUGAUGAAGGUCUUCGGAUCGUAAAACUCUGUUAUUAGGGAAGAACAAAUGUGUAAGUAACUAUGCACGUCUUGACGGUACCUAAUCAGAAAGCCACGGCUAACUACGUG
rnacentral:rRNA from 1 species